CACUGGCACGCCUGCAGCACAAUGAUGAUGUCACUGAGUCUACUGCUGACCGGCCUGGGGCUCCUUGUUCAGGGUUCAUCAGGAGACAUCCUGCUGACUCAGUCUCCUGGAGCUCAGUCUAUUGUUCCAGGACAGACUGUCUCCAUCAGGUGUAAAGCCAGUUCUAGUGUUAGUAACUACCUUCACUGGUACCAGCAGAAAUCAGGAGAAUCUCCCAAACUUCUGAUUUAUUCCACCUCAAAUCGUCAGUCUGGGAUCUCAGAUCGUUUCAGUGGAAGUGGAUCUGGAAGUGACUUCACUCUGACCAUCAGAGGAGUUCUGGCUGAAGAUGCAGGAGAUUAUUAUUGUCAGCAGAGUAACAGCUUCCCGUUCACACAGUGAAACAACGUCGUACAAAAACCUCC